GUAGCUGCUCCGCAGGCCCAGCCCGGGCCGCGCUCGCAGAGUCCUAGGCGGUGCGCGGCCUCCUGCCUCCUCCCUCCUCGGCGGUCGCGGCCCGCCGGCCUCCGCGGUGCCUGCCUUCGCUCUCAGGGUACCUUCCUUCCGCGAGCGCGCUCCUCCGCCCUCCGCCCCGCCCUCCCCUCCCCUCUGUCUGUAUUCUUUGUCCACCACCGGCGCCCUCGGAGCUUGCAUUUGCCUCUCCGAUACUUUAUAUUGAUUUUGUUCUUUUCCGUGGCCAAGUAUCGGUUUCACAUCCUUUCUAUGACCUUCACCGUUAGGCCUCUGUUCUCGUCUCUUUUCAAUCAUUGUCAUUGACUCAACCUGUCCCCGCUCCCUCUGUCUCCACUAAGAUGACAUGCUCAACUGGAUGACUUGGAGGAAGGUGACUUUCCCUGUUAUGCCUUCCCUAUUUCGGAUGGAGCCUCAGACUUUAACUGUCUACUCUGUUGUCUGGACUUAAGUUGAGUGAAAGAAGAUUCCUCUGCAACAGCUUUAAUCCGUUUUGCUCGCUUUGUUGGCUUGGAGCGAAUAAUUAAAAUAAUAAUAUCUCGUAGCCACCUUCUAGACUUUUCUGACCCAGUUUCCAUAUGUGUGAAGUAAAAUAUCUUACCGAAGUAUUAUUAUGAAGAUUAAAAGAUAAGAUACAAAUAGGCUUCAUUCCGAAGAGAGCUAAAAAGUCUCUUAAAAGCCGUAAUUGUGGCGUAAGUGAUUAGUAGUAUUUGUCCUCGAGAGUUUAUGUACAUCGUACUGUGUGCGAACUUACUUAAAACACAAUUGCAGAAGUAAAAAUGAAUCUUUAUGAUGGAGGGCCUGUCAGUCACUAAACUAGUACUGGUAGCAUUGUCAGUUGUUUUGAAGGGGUUUCGUUGGUUUGGAAAGUUUGGUAAAAGUUUGGUAAAAACAUGACCAUUGUGUUUUUGGAAGAGGAAAAGGCAAGAGCAUUGAGGAAAACCAGAACUGGAAAUAAUGGUCUUAGAAGCUCUAGUUACCAGUUACCUCUGUGAGAACUUUGGACAGGUUACAACUUUUGGAUUUUUUUUUUUUUUUAAUCUUGAGACAGGGUCUGCCUCUGUGGCCCAGGCUGGAGUCCAGUGGGCCAUCAUAGCUCACGGCAGUUUCGGCUUUCCUGGGCGCAAGCGGUUCUCUCCUUCCUCAGCUCCCCAAAUACCUGGGACUACAGGUGUGAGCCACCACACCCGGCUCAUUUUUUAAACUCUAAAUAGACAUAGUAGCAAGGGUACCCAACCUCACUGAUUGAGGAUUAAAUGAGUUGUUAUAUGUAAACUGUCUAGCACCUACCAAAUGUUGUUGUUUUUCCUUUAUAAUCAAAUUCAUGAUUAAGGAGCAGUGACUGGAAGUUUGGAAGCAGGCACCUCAUUAUUAUUCAUGCCUACCACCUAUUAUUUCUUUAUUUUGAGAUGGAGUCUUGCUCUGUCACCUAGGCUGGAGUGCAGUGGUGGGAUCUCGGCUCACUGCAGCCUCUGCCUCCUGGGUUCAAGCAAUUCUGCCUCAGCCUUCCGAGUAGCUGGGAUUACAGGCGCAUGCCACAACACCCCGCUGAUUUUUGUAUUUUUAGUAGAGACAGGGUUUCACCAUGUUGGCCAGGCUGGUCUCGAACUCCUCACCUCAUGAUCCACCCGCCUUGGCCUCCCAAAGUGCUGGGAUUACAGCCAUGAGCCACUGCACCUGGCCUAUUUCUUUACCUUGUAGAUAGCAGCUUUUUAUUUAAUAAAGUCUUUUUUUUUUAGCAAAUAUAAUAGUAUGUUUUAAGUUUUUCCUACACUGUAGAAAUAGUCCUUUCGUGUGUGUGUGUGUGUGUGUGUGUGUGUGUGUGUAUAUAUAUAUAUAUAUAUAUUUUUUUUUUUUCUUUUUUUGAGACAAAGUGUCUCUGUGUCAUCCAGGCUGGAGAGCAGUGGCAUGAACACGGCUCACUGCAGCCUCAACCUCCUGGGCUCUAGUGAUCCUCUUGUCCCAGCCACUUAUGUAGCUGGGACCACAGGAGUAUGCCACCAUGCCCAGCUAAUUUUUUGAUCUUGUAGAGACAAGGUCUCACUUUGUUGUGCAAGUUGGUUUCAAACUCCUGGGCUCAAGCUAUCCUCUUGCCUCCCAAAGUGCUGGGAUUACAGGCGUGAGCCACCACAUCUAUCCCCUUUCAGAUAUCUUAAUCUUGGUAAAUUCUUUCAGUUACUAAUCUGUGAUGAACUAAUUUUUUUCUUCACAUAUAUCAACAGUUGAGGAGCUCAAGCUUGGGAAAAUGGUGUGCAUUCCUUGUAUCGUCAUUCCAGUUCUGCUCUGGAUCUACAAAAAAUUCCUGGAGCCAUAUAUAUACCCUCUGGUUUCCCCCUUCGUUAGUCGUAUAUGGCCUAAGAAAGCAAUACAAGAAUCCAAUGAUACAAACAAAGGCAAAGUAAACUUUAAGGUAAGAACAUUCACAUGCCUUGAAUAAGAGCAGUGAAAGGGGGUGGUACUUGGGUGAAACACUAGAUUUUGGAAGGACAAGUUUUAGAACCAGAAGCUUCAAUAGUUUGUGUAACAUUUGGCUUAAAUUAAAGUUUUAAAGUAGGCCUCUGAUUAAUGCAUUUGUCCUUUGGCCAAAAUGAUAACCAUAUUUUCUGACUGGUAAGUGCAAUGGUAAAUAGCUAAUGGAUGAGGAGAGAUUAUGCUGAUACAAACCAGUUUCACUGAUUGAUGACUUUGAUAAGAGAUUUAAUUAGAAGGAUCAUAGAGAUUUAAAAAAAAAACAAUUUUUUUAAAAAUGAGUGGACAACUCUGUUGUCUUUAGAAUUGGUGCUUUUUUAGAUUCAGCUUUGUACUCAGCUGCACUAAUUUAGCCAUCCGGCCCGUUUCUGGAAGCAAAAUGUUUUCACUCUGGAGCUUGUCUGUUUUUAAAGAGAAUGUUUCUUGAGCUGGGCGCGGUAGCUCACGCCUGUAAUCCCAGCACUUGGGGAGGUCAAGAUGGGUUGAUCACCUGAGGUCAGGAGUUUGAGACCAGCCUGACCAACAUGGUGAAAUCCUGUUUCUACUAAAAAUACCAAAAUUAGUGAGGCGCGGUGGUGGGCACCUGUAAUCUCAGCUACUCAGGAGGCUGAGGUGGGAGAAUUGCUUGAACCUGGGUGGCAGAGGUUUCAGUGAGCCGAGAUCACAUCAUUGCACUCCAGCCUGGGUGACAAGAAUGAAACUCCAUCUCAAAAAAAAAAAAAAAGAGAGAGACAGAAUGUCUCUUAAUAUCUUUUUGUUGUAAUAAUUUCUUUCUUUUUUUUUUUUUGUUUUUGUUUUUGUGAUGAAGUCUCGCUUUGUCACCAGGCUAGAGUGCAGUGGCAUAAUCUUGGCUCACCACAACUUCCGUCUCCCAGGUUCAAACGAUUCUCCUGCCUCAGCCUCCUGAGUAGCUGGGAUUAUAGGCACAUGCUACCAUACCCAGCUAAUUUUUGUAUUUUUAGUAGGGACGGGGUUUCACCAUGUCAGCCAGGAUGGUCUCGAUCUUCUGACCUCGUGAUCUGCCUGCCUCAGCCUCCCAAAGUGCUGGGAUUACAGGCAUAAGCCACCGCACCCGGCUUGUUAUGAUAAUUUCUAAAAUGUUUUUUCAUUUUAGGGUGCAGACAUGAAUGGAUUACCAACAAAAGGACCAACAGAAAUCUGUGAUAAAAAGAAAGACUAAAGAAAUUUUCCUAAAGGACCCCAUCAUUUAAAAAAUGGACCUGAUAAUAUGAAGCAUCUUCCUUGUAAUUGUCUCUGACCUUUUUAUCUGAGACCGGAAUUCAGGAUAGGAGUCUAGAUAUUUACCUGAUACUAAUCAGGAAAUAUAUGAUAUCCGUAUUUA
rnacentral:lncRNA from 1 species